GGGAUAUUAGCAUAACGGUAAUGCAUAUGACUUUUAAUCAUCUUUAUAUAAGUUCGAAUCUUGUAUAUCCCA
rfam:Pestalotiopsis fici W106-1 unplaced genomic scaffold PFICI_Scf_23, whole genome shotgun sequence.